rnacentral:lncRNA from 1 species
AGGAUUGGCUACCGAUCACACUCUCCAUCAUUUGUGUGUUGGUUUUGUUUUAGUAGACAAAUUGAUGAUGUUGGAGGCCCAGGAAAAGGAGCCCACUGAACUUGAUCUAGUGAGUGAGUGAAGUGUCCAAGGCUCCUCCUGAUCAAUUCACCAUGCGCCAUUCAUUUCCUGGAGCUGAACUGAGAGUUUUAGGCUCUUUGAAAUCCCAUGUUCAGGAACCUGGUCAAUAAGCAUGUAGUUUAAAGUUCUCUCUCUCUCUCUCUCUCUCUCUCUCUCUCUCUCUCUCUCUCUCUCUCUCUCUUUCUCUCCUGUAUUCUUUUAGAUUUUGAGAUUUUCUUAAAGUUCACCAACUAGUAAAUAUUACUGUAAACUUUUACAAAUGAUGGCAUUGAACAAUUAAAUAGGUUCCUGGAAGAUGGAAUCUCUGAGGGAGACAGGCAAUAUGCAGAUUUUUUUUAAAGUAAAAAUUUGUGGCAAGUCCUAAAAGGCUCAUCACAGAGCAAAGCCUGCUGAUUCAAACAGAAAAGAAAUGCCAUAGUUGUUAGAAGCCUGGGAGAAAUGAAGCCUGGCAUGCUAUUAAUAACCAAUAGGUGCUUACUCUCCAAGAUUAGUUAAGUUAUUCAAAAUUAGAAAGUAGAACUCACACAAACAGUCAGAGAUCAUUUGAUGAGAAUGGUUAGGUGACUUUCUUUCCGUGUUCUAGGUGUGUGUCCCUGAUUGGGCUUUUGAUCUACUCUUUGUUGUACUAUGGCAUCAUGAAUUAUUUAGUUCCUCAUGCUAAUUGCCUAGUUGAUAGUGUGUGCUGAGUAUCAUCUAUUCACUCAAAAAUAGCAUCUUCAUGAAGCAUAAUGUGAGGGUCCUAGCACCCUGUGGUCAGGCAGUGCUUGUAAAUGAACUUAGUGGCCCUCAUGAGAUAACCUGUGUGUUCCAAUCUUCAAGUCAGGGUUCUAGUCUGAGGGUGGCCGCAGGACUAAACCCUUUGAGCACACUUUUCAUUACCUACUUGCCUCUUCUGGCUUUGAGCUUGCUUGUGGCCAGUUCUUCUCCUCUGUUGCUUUGGGCUUCCCUGUACCUAGCUAUCUGGAUUUUUGAAACAUUUGUAUAAGCAUUUAACGUGCCUUUUCUACAUCUCUAUUUCUGCUUUUCAAUGUGCAUUUAUUGUGUGAUUUAAAAGUUCGUUGAUCCUUAUUGGAUGAUAUUUUCUAUAGAACCUGUGUAAAUUAUCCUGGCUAUUAGAGAAAUACCAUAAAAGUGAGUAAAAUUUGUUCAUAAAUUCAUUCUUUUUGAAAGGCUGAUUAAAUUAGGCAUACUCAAAAAUUAAUGUACAAUCAGCUCAUCUAUCUGUAUAUAUGUAAAAGCCAAUUAAUCAAUGUACCUAAUUUGUAGAAGACAGCGUGAGCUUCAUAUUUCUGGAUGCACAUCGGAUAGAUGAUAUACUUACUAUUCAAUUGUUUAAAAACUAAGUCCUAGUCCACAAAUUAAAUAUGUAAAUACUAUUUUUCCACAUAAAGUACCUUAUUCCAGACUAAUUUGGACAUAAAUAAUAUUUUUACAUUGCAAAGGACCUUAAUUACUAGGGUUGAUUAACUUACUUUAAAGUGCAUUAAAUUUAAUUCCUUUUGAUAAUAGGAGGAAGGAAAUAUCGGAGUACCUAAAUCUGGCAAGAAUCCAUUUUAUGGUCCUGUAGGCAUCAUUUAGCAUCUUUGUGUCUCAGAGUAUUCAACCGUAAAGUAAGAAACUAUUGUAGAGACUCUUUGUUUCAAAUCUAUGAUCUUCAUUUCACAUGUAACUAACUACCUCUUGACUUUCUGAAAGUAGUU